UUGGAUGUUUAGUACAUGCGAUGGACACACGCGUGAAUCCGAGCAUGCAAAGAUCAUAUACUGUGGUGGAUAACUGAUCGAUGUCAAUCACUUACAACGUAUGGAUAUAGUCAAGACUCAAGAAUAUGUACAUUGAAGAGUGAAAAGAAAUGUGAUAAUGUACCUUGGGAGUCUGGCCUCUGGCCAGCUCACUGUACAAUCCUGGUUUUAAGCUGAAAUGUUGAGGGAAAAAAGUUAGAAUUCAUAAAUCUUUCAUUGUUCAUUUGGUAACUUACUUGUAUUUCUUAUGUUUGAAGGUGAGGAAGCCGGUCUUCAAUCUUUCAACAGUGGGAGAGAGAGCGGCGCUGCCAUUGUCUGUCUGCAGCUCCGCUGUGAUUUGAUCUAUUUUUGCCGCCGCCGCAGGUGCUAGUUCUCCCUUAUAACUAUAUGAAAAAUGAUGGCUAGCAUACAUCAAAAUGUUAUAGAAAAAGGUUUUAGAUUUAAAUAAAGUUAACCUUAGUAGCCUUUCGAGUUCAGCUAUGGCUUCCUCGUAUGAAUAUUUUCCCAAGUCAUCAUCUCUCUGCAUCAUUUUUUCAAAUGCUUCAGAAAGAUAGAACACGUACAGAUAUGAAUUCUUAGUCUUAUUCUUGUCAUAGUUGACUUGAUUUGUUGAAUUCUAGUGAAUGAAGCACAAAGAUGGAAGAGUGUACCGGAGCAGGGUGGAUGAUGGGAGCUGGAGCAGCGAAAACCGGCUCGUCUCUGAUGAGGAUGGGCGGCGGAGAAGGGGAAGAGCUAAGCUUCGCGGUGGCGGUGAUGGGCCGGCAUGCCGCUGCCGGCCGUGAUAGACGGGCGGCGGGUGGAGUGAGGAAGCCGUUGACGGUCGACAUUGCGCAAUAGGCCACAGGUAUGUGCUCUCUUUAACUGACUGAUUUAGAAGCAAUGCAUGCAUGCGAAACCAUAGGAUAACGAAAGCGAAAGAUAAGUAAACCACAGCUUCUACACUUGCAGAUUGGAUUUCUCCUUUUUU
rnacentral:lncRNA from 1 species